rnacentral:rRNA from 1 species
UAAACCGACACAGGUGGAUUAGUAGAGGAUACUAAGGUGAUUGGAAGAACAACUUUGAAGGAACUCGGCAAAUUAAUUCCGUAACAUUAGGAUAAGGAAUACUCAUAUUUAUUAUUUAAAUGAUAAUUAAAAAUAAUUAUAAAUAUGAAUGCAGUUUAAUUUAGUUGUAAAUUAGAUUUGUGUCACAGAAUAGGGUGUAGCGACUGUUUAAUAAAAACACAGGACUUUGCUAAAUAGUAAUAGAUGUAUAAGGUCUGACGUCUGCCCGGUGAUGAAUAAUUAAUAGGAGAGAUAUUUUAUUUUAUUAAGAAUUUAAUUUUAUAAAAUGUUUGAAUAUAAGUGUCAUUAAACGGCGGCUGUAACUCUGACGGUCCUAAGGUAGCGAAAUUCCUUGUCAAUUAAGUAUUGACCCGCAUGAAUGACGUAACGACUUCACCA